rnacentral:rRNA from 1 species
GACGAACGCUGGCGGCGUGCUUAACACAUGCAAGUCGAACGGAAAGGCCCUGCUUGUGUGGGGUGCUCGAGUGGCGAACGGGUGAGUAACACGUGAGUAACCUGCCCUUGACUUUGGGAUAACUUCAGGAAACUGGGGCUAAUACCGGAUAGGAGCUCCUGCUGCAUGGGGGGGGUUGGAAAGUUUCGGCGGUUGGGGAUGGACUCGCGGCUUAUCAGCUUGUUGGUGGGGUAGUGGCUUACCAAGGCAUUGACGGGUAGCCGGCCUGAGAGGGUGACCGGCCACAUUGUGCCUGAGGUACGGCCCAGGGUCCUACGGGAGGCAUCAGUGGGGACUAUUGCACGAUGUGCGGAGGCCUGAUGCAGCAACGCCGCGUGCGGGAUGACGUCCUUCGGGUUGGAAACCGCUUUCGCCUGUGACGAAGCGUGAGUGACGGUAAUGGGGAAUGAAGCACCGGCUAACUACGU